rnacentral:rRNA from 1 species
GACGAACCGUGCGAACGUUAUUCGGAAUCACUGGGCUUAAAGCGCGUGUAGGCGGGACGGCACGUCGGUCGCUGAAAUCCCCCGGCUCAACCGGGGAAGUGGCGCCGAUACGACCGCCCUGGAGGGACGUAGGGGGGGCUGGAACUUCCGGUGGAGCGGUGAAAUGCGUUGAGAUCGGAAGGAACGCCCGUGGCGAAGGCGGCUUUCUGGGCCCUACCUGACGCUGAGACGCGAAAGCGUGGGGAGCGAACCGG